rnacentral:rRNA from 1 species
AGAGUUUGAUCCUGGCUCAGAACGAACGCUAGCGGCGCGUUUCAGGCAUGCAAGUCGAACGGUACCAGGGAUGUUUUACCAUCUGCUGACGAGUGGCGCACGGGUGAGUAACGCGUAGGUAACCUGCCUUAAGGUCUGGGAUAGCCAUACGAAAGUAUGAUUAAUACUGGAUAUGCUCUUAUGAGUAAAGAUUCAUCGCCUUAAGAUGGGCCUGCGUUAGAUUAGCUUGUUGGUAGGGUAAUGGCCUACCAAGGCGACGAUCUAUAGCCGGGUUGAGAGACUGGCCGGCCACAUUGGGACUGAGACACGGCCCAGACUCCUACGGGAGGCAGCAGCUAAGAAUCUUCCGCAAUGGACGCAAGUCUGACGGAGCGACGCCGCGUGAACGAUGAAGGCCUUACAGGUUGUAAAGUUCUUUUAUAGUAGACGAAAACUAAGCGUAGGCUUAGUUGACGGUAUUCUAUGAAUAAGGUCCGGCUAACUACGUGCCAGCAGCCGCGGUAAUACGUAGGGACCGAGCGUUGUUCGGAAUUAUUGGGCGUAAAGGGUACGUAGGCGGUCUAAUAAGUCAGAUGUGAAAACCCUGGGCUCAGCCUGAGGCCUGCGUCUGAUACUGUUAGGCUAGAGUUACGGAGAGGAAGUCGGAAUUCCUGGUGUAGGGGUGAAAUCUAUAGAUAUCAGGAAGAACACCGGUAGCGAAGGCGGACUUCUGGACGUAAACUGACGCUGAUGUACGAAAGUUAGGGUAGCAAACAGGAUUAGAGACCCUGGUAGUCCUAAUCGUAAACGUUGUAUACUAGGUGGUGGCGUUUUGAUCGCGUCACUGCCGUAGCUAACGCAUUAAGUAUACCGCCUGGGGAGUAUGCCGGCAACGGUGAAACUCAAAGGAAUUGACGGGGGCCCGCACAAGCAGUGGAGCAUGUUGUUUAAUUCGAUGAUACGCGAGGAACCUUACCAGGUCUUGACAUAUACCCGGAUGUUCCAGAGAUGGAUCAGUCUUUCGGGACGGGUAUACAGGUGCUGCAUGGUUGUCGUCAGCUCGUGCCGUGAGGUGUUGGGUUAAGUCCCGCAACGAGCGCAACCCUUAUUCUUUGUUGCUAACGCGUUAUGGCGAGCACUCUAAGGAGACUGCCGGUGACAAACCGGAGGAAGGUGGGGAUGACGUCAAAUCAUCACGGCCCUUAUGACCUGGGCUACAAACGUGCUACAAUGGGCGGUACAAAGAGUUGCGAGUCUGUGAAGAGGAGCUAAUCUCAAAAAACCGUCCUCAGUUCGGAUUGGAGUCUGAAACCCGACUCCAUGAAGUUGGAAUUGCUAGUAAUCGCAUAUCAGCCAUGAUGCGGUGAAUAUGUUCCCGGGCCUUGUACACACCGCCCGUCACAUCACCCGAAUUGACUAUACCCGAUGUGGCUGAGCCAACCCUUCGGGGAGGCAGGUCCCUAAGGUAUGGUUGGUGAGGGGGAUGAAGUCGUAACAAGG